UACGUAGGGAGCAAGCGUUGUCCGGAAUCAUUGGGCGUAAGGAGCGUGUAGGCGGCCCGGUAAGUCGGUUGUGAAAGUCAAGGGCUCAACCCUUGAAAGCCGACCGAUACUGCCGGGCUAGAAUCCGGAAGAGGCGAGUGGAAUUCCUGGUGUAGCGGUGAAAUGCUUAGAUAUGACAUAGAACACCCAUUGCGAAGGCAGCUCGCUACACUAUUAUUGACACUGAGGCACGAAAGCGUGGGGAUCAAACAGG
rnacentral:rRNA from 1 species